GAAAUAGGGUUCUCAGUUAACAUAGUACCAGCAAAGUUUGCAGCAUAUAUGGGAGGAGGAGUUUGAGCAGUGGAGUCCCCUAACUUGGUCUGGUGUAACGAGUUCAUCAACUGGUCAUAAUCUUGUCUGCUCAACCCUGGUAUCACAGAACUCUGGCCAUCUAUUCUUGCAACAGAUUGAUGGCUAGCAGAAGGAUUCCCUUGAGGAAUAGACAACAGUCUAUCAGAAAUAGGAGAAUCCAGACUAGUACUCAGAUGAGCAGCAGCAGGUCUCCUUCCCUUGUUAAAAGUGGUACUUUGUGGAUACCCAUGGAUCUUGAAGCACUUAUCAAUUAAGUGUCCAGAUUUUUUAUAGUAUCUACAAAAUAAAGGUCUCCUGGCUUGGUCAAAAUUGACUCUCUGUUGGUCAAAAUUGACUCUCUGUUUGAAAGGAGGAGGAGGAACAGACACUGUGACCUUGUUAAAUCCAGCAGGCUACCUGUUUGUAUGUACAUUGAAAGAGACAGAGGCUGGAUCAAAGUGAGAGGAAGACUGAACUUGUCUUUGCUUCUCAUCAUUGAGGACCAUAUUAUAUACAUUGUCAAGAGAAGGAGGAGGCUGCAUCAUCAAAAGAUUAUUCCUGACCCCCAUAUAAGCUUCAUUCAGACCCAUUAAAAACUGAAAGACCUUAUUAUCAUCACAUUCCUCAACUAUACCAUCUUUUGCAGCACAUACACACCUUAGACCAUGAUUAGCACACAUAGACUCAAGUUCAUCCCACAGACCUUUUAGCUUAUUAAAAUAGGAAGCUAUAUCUAAUGACCCUUGAGAGGUGUGGGACAACUCUCUUUUCAGUUCAAAGAUUUUGGUCCUGUUUGUAGUGCCAUAUCUAGCCUGGAGUUGGGAC
rnacentral:lncRNA from 1 species